AACUCUCAACCCCCCUAUUUUGUAAUGAAAUGGGCGUGGGCUUGGAUUAUGGCUGUCUGUCGGCGUAAUUGCCGGCUCAGCUGAAAUACACGAGCAACCCUAUUGAAAUAGACGGUUUGACUUGGCGUAAUAAUUAUUUCGCUAAGGACGUCUUCUUCAAAUGUAAGAGGUGCUUCUAAUGCGCUUUUAAAGCAACUUAAGC
rnacentral:misc_RNA from 1 species